rnacentral:rRNA from 1 species
AUACAGAGGGUGCAAGCGUUGUUCGGAAUUACUGGGCGUAAAGCGCGCGCAGGCGGGAUGGCAAGUCGGAUGUGAAAGCCCUUGGCUCAACCAAGGAAGUGCAUUCGAAACUGCUGUUCUUGAGUGUCGGAGAGGGUGGCGGAAUUCCCGGUGUAGAGGUGAAAUUCGUAGAUAUCGGGAGGAACACCAGUGGCGAAGGCGGCCACCUGGACGAACACUGACGCUGAGGCGCGAAAGCGUGGGGAGCAAACAGGAUUAGAUACCCUGGUAGUCCACGCCGUAAACGAUGAGUGCUAGCUGUUGCGGGAGUUGACCCCUGCAGUGGCGAAGCCAACGCAUUAAGCACUCCGCCUGGGGAGUACGGCCGCAAGGCUAAA